AACGAACGCUGGCGGCAUGCCUAACACAUGCAAGUCGAACGAGACCUUCGGGUCUAGUGGCGCACGGGUGCGUAACGCGUGGGAACCUGCCCUUAGGUUCGGAAUAACUCCCCGAAAGGGGUGCUAAUACCGGAUAAUGUCUUCGGACCAAAGAUUUAUCGCCUUUGGAUGGGCCCGCGUUGGAUUAGCUAGUUGGUAGGGUAAAAGCCUACCAAGGCGACGAUCCAUAGCUGGUCUGAGAGGAUGAUCAGCCACACUGGGACUGAGACACGGCCCAGACUCCUACGGGAGGCAGCAGUAGGGAAUAUUGGACAAUGGGCGAAAGCCUGAUCCAGCAAUGCCGCGUGAGUGAUGAAGGGCUUAGGGUUGUAAAGCUCUUUUACCCGGGAUGAUAAUGACAGUACCGGGUGAAUAAGCUCCGGCUAACUCCGUG
rnacentral:rRNA from 1 species